AGUCAACCUGCCCUUGGGUCGAGAACAAUCCCGGGAAACUGAGGCUAAUUCUCGAUAGAUCAAGAUUCCUGGAAUGGGUUUUGGUCAAAAUGGUGUAACAGCAUCUUGUUAUUUUCGCCCAAGGAUGGGACUGCGGCCGAUCAGGCUGUUGGUGGGGUAAAGGCCCACCAAACCAGUAACCGGUACGGGCUUUGAGAGAAGGAGCCCGGAGAUGGACACUGAGACAAGGGUCCAGGUCCUACGGGGCGCAGCAGGCGCGAAACCUUCGCAAUGCGCGCAAGCGCGACGAGGUUAUUCCGAGUGAUUUCCGCUGAGGAAAUCUUUUCUUAGAUCUAAAAAGUCUGGGGAAUAAGGGGAGGGCAAGUCUGGUGUCAGCCGCCGCGGUAAUACCAGCUCCUCGAGUGGUCAGGGCGUUUAUUGGGCCUAAAGCAUCCGUAGCCGGCUCAUUAGGUCUCCUGUUAAAUCCAACGGCUCAACCGUUGGUCUGCAGGAGAUACCGAUGGGCUAGGAGGCGGGAGAGGCGGACGGUACUCCGAGGGUAGGGGUAAAACCCUUUGAUCCCCGGAAGACCACCAGUGGCGAAGGCGGUCCGCCAGAACGCGCUCGACGGUGAGGGAUGAAAGCUGGGGGAGCGAACCGGAUUAGAUACCCGGGUAGUCCCAGCUGUAAACGAUGCGAGCUAGGUGACACAAGGCCUUCGGGGCCUUGUGGUGCCGCAGGGAAGCCGUUAAGCUCGCCGCCUGGGGAGUACGGACGCAAGUCUGAAACU
rnacentral:rRNA from 1 species